rnacentral:rRNA from 1 species
CACGUAGGGGGCGAGCGUUGUCCGGAUUCAUUGGGCGUAAAGCGCGCGCAGGCGGUCUCUUAAGUCUGAUGUGAAAUCCCGUGGCUUAACCACGGGCGGUCAUUGGAAACUGGGGGACUUGAGUGCAGAAGAGAAGAGCGGAAUUCCACGUGUAGCGGUGAAAUGCGUAGAGAUGUGGAGGAACACCAGUGGCGAAGGCGGCUCUUUGGUCUGUAACUGACGCUGAGGCGCGAAAGCGUGGGGAGCGAACAGG